UCCGCUGACGACCGGCGCACGGGUGCGUAACACGUAUGCAACCUACCUCUUACUGAAGGAUAGCCCAGAGAAAUCUGGAUUAAUACCCCAUAAUAUCAUGAAUUCGCAUGUUUUCAUGAUUAAAACUCCGGUGGUAGAGGAUAGGCAUGCGGCCCAUUAGUUUGUUGGUGAGGUAACGGCUCACCAAGACUACGAUGGGUAGGGGUUCUGAGAGGAUGAUCCCCCACACUGGUACUGAGACACGGACCAGACUCC
rnacentral:rRNA from 1 species